GGAAGGUGGCCUUGCUUCCCCGAAAUAAAACCGGGCACUGUAAAUCUCAGGUGGCUUUUAAAAAUUGUUCUUUUGGAUCGCUCAGGCUCCUAUGUAGGCUCCUAUGAUGUAAGUAAUGGUCUGCUAGCCUGCUCCUUAAAAUAUCACUGGUUUGCUCAUUUCUAUAUACUAUAGGGUGCCUACAUUCUGCUAUUUAUAAUUAUUAGUAGUUUUCAUAAUAUAUUUACACCUAUUAUUAUUUCAUGUUAUAGCAAGUUUCUAGAGACUAAAUUAUCAGUCUUUGUAAAUAGUGUUUCUAAAGGAACUUUUGCUAUUGCCAAAUGCCACUGUGUUUGCAUUAUUAAGUUGGUUAUGAAAAAUCCUUUUAAGUUAGAGCUUAAUAAUUAUUUCACUAUUAAUAUACUUGUUCUUAAUUGUAUUUCACUGUUAAUAUACUAUUUCUUAAUUGUAUUUCAAUUCAAAAAUUACUUUGAUAAAAUACAUAUUUUGUUAUGCGCAAAUGGCCUUAGAUAUCCAUUAGGUCCAUAAAUUACCAUAUAUCAUAUAUUCAACACAAAAAACAGCAACAAUUUGUUGUUGACAAAGGACAGCUGGACAUAUAAAGGGCCCCAUUACCCCUUCAGUAGCUUAGAGUGAAGGAAGGUGAGGACAGGUGACCUCACCUAGGCCCGAAGUCACCCCCCACCAAAGCAGGCUCAAAGCUUCUCAAAACUUUUCAAAAUCAUUUUCUCAGCAGCUAAGCAUCAGAAACAUUCCGCUCUGCUGUAACAAAGGUAGAGAACAGUCCAUUGUUUCUCAGGCCUUUCUCAUGUCUUCUGGCCUUGCUGAAGAACCACAUUGCAACUUACUUUCUGUCCGGAAACCAUGCCAGAACAAGAGAUUGAAACAUAUCUGAACAUGCUGAAAACCCCUUGGCUUCUCACCCCCCCCUUUCCUGGGAAGGGUGCCAAGAGUCCACAAUAGUCCCAAGACAGCUUUCUGUUCAUGCUCAGAGGAACUCCUGAGGGAGGAGAAAGGGGGAGGGAACUGGAAAGAGGUAUACAUGCUUGUGCACAUGAUUGUGAACUCGUGCAUGCUUUUGUAACUUAUCACACUUGCUCCUUCUACCAGUUCAUGGAUGGUAGAAAUAAAAGCCUUUUCUCCGAAACUAUUCCUUGAGUGUCUGUUGACUCCCACUUCCCUUUCCCAGGCGCAAUAUUUUUCCCACCCGAGGGCAAAGCCUCAUAAGGCUACAAGAGCCUCAUCAAACCUAAAUCCGGCCCUGCUCAGGAGUUAUGGAGGAGGCAAGUGUAGCGCAGUGACUCACACAGAGAUGCAACAGGCAGCUGUCCCAGAGGAUGGGUAAGAGCACAGCCUCUGCACUGGGUACGCUUGUAUGAGGCAGUCGCAUCCAGUGCAAAUUACCCAACCUUGCUAACAAAUCAAAUUCAGUUUCCCAGCUGAAACUGAAUGGAGCAAGCAAAGUCCAGAGCGUUAUCUCAUUCAGAGAUGCAACACACACCUUACUCUGAAGAUGUGUAACGGCUCUAUCUCUUGCAUUUCUAUGCUUUAUAGCUCAGUGUGC